UACGUAGGGUGCGAGUGUUGUCCGGAAUUAUUGGGCGUAAAGAGCUCGUAGGCGGUCUGUCGCGUCGAAUGUGAAAACCCGGGGCUCAACCCCGGGCCUGCAUUCGAUACGGGCAGACUAGAGUUCGGUAGGGGAGUCUGGAAUUCCUGGUGUAGCGGUGAAAUGCGCAGAUAUCAGGAGGAACACCGGUGGCGAAGGCGGGACUCUGGGCCGAUACUGACGCUGAGGAGCGAAAGCGUGGGGAGCGAACAGG
rnacentral:rRNA from 1 species